rnacentral:lncRNA from 1 species
UCAGUAGGAUUAUGUGAUCAAGCCCCAAUAUCAGAUUCUUUUAACAUCUCAUUUUGCAGUGUGAAAUCACAAGCAAGAAUUACCAGAGAGAGGUCCUAAAAAAUACAGGGAAAGAAGAGAACCUCCAGAGACAAAAAGCCAAUGAUGGGAGCACAUGAAUGUGCAAAAAACUUCCAAAAAUGCCGUAGAGAAAGCUCGCAGCUGGGUCGCUUGUGAAGGAGGUCCAUGGAAUCAUGCUGCUAGCGAGUAGCUCAGAGCUGAUGAAGAGCUCCUGUCAGAAGACAGAGCUGAACUGUGUGAACUGGGUCACGGGAGAGGAACUGUUUCUUGGAGCACUUAGGGUCCAAGCUAUCACAGGGGGCUAAGGAAAUGGAGCUUGAGAAGCCACCACAGGACCUACUUAUCACAGUGCAAGAAAGUCAGUCCAGAAGUGUCUGCUGCUUACUGAACUUGGAUCAGCUGGUAACAAGACAAAGUCUCAGCCAUGCCUAGCUGUGCACGGUUGCCUCUUCACUGCUUUUCCCAACCAGCUUGGAUGAUGUUUUGAGAUUUUAAUAAAAAAAAUACAAUGUGGGUAGUGUGCCGAAAAAAAA